GACGAACGCUGGCGGCGUGCUUAACACAUGCAAGUCGAACGGAAAGGCCCUGCUUUUGUGGGGUGCUAGAGUGGCGAACGGGUGAGUAACACGUGAGUAACCUGCGCUUGACUUUGGGAUAACUUCAGGAAAAUGGGGCUAAUACAGGAUAGGAGCUCCUGCUGCAUGGUGGGGGUUGGAAAGUUUCGGCGGUUGGGGAUGGACUCGCGGCUUAUCAGCUUGUUGGUGGGGUAGUGGCUUACGAAGGCUUUGACGGGUAGCCGGCCUGAGAGGGUGACCGGCCACAUUGGGACUGCGAUACGGCCCAGACUCCUACGGGAGGCAGCAGUGGGGAAUAUUGCCCAAUGGGCGGAAGCCUGAUGCAGCAACGCCGCGUGCGGGAUGACGGCCUUCGGGUUGUAAACCGCUUUCGCCUGUGACGAAGCGUGAGUGACGGUAAUGGGUAAAGAAGCACCGGCUAACUACGUG
rnacentral:rRNA from 1 species